rnacentral:rRNA from 1 species
CCCUUAGACGUUCUGGGCCGCACGCGCGCUACACUGACGAAGGCAACGAGCUUUCCUUUACCGAAAGGUACGGGUAAUCUUUUGAAACUUCGUCGUGCUGGGGAUAGAUCCUUGCAAUUAUUGAUCUUAAACGAGGAAUUCCUAGUAAGCGCAAGUCAUCAACUUGUGUUGAUUACGUCCCUGCCCUUUGUACACACCGCCCGUCGCUACUACCGAUUGAAUGGUUUAGUGAGGCCUUCGGAUCCGCGACUCGUUUUGUGGAGAAGUUGGACAAACUCAGUCAUUUAGAGGAAGUAAAAGUCGUAACA